GAUGAACGCUGGCGGCGUGCCUAAUACAUGCAAGUCGAGCGAACGGACGAGAAGCUUGCUUCUUUGAUGUUAGCGGCGGACGGGUGAGUAACACGUGUAUAACGUACCUAUAAUACUGGUAUAACUUCGGGAAACCGUAUCUAAUACCGGAUAAUAUUUUGAACCGCAUUGUGCAUAAGUGAAAUUCGGUCGUGCUGGCACUUAUAGAUGGUUCCGCGCUUCUUUAGAUAGUUGGUAAGUUAACGGCUUACCAAGGCUACUAUGCAUAGCCGACCUGUGAGAGUGAUAGGCCACCCGAGAACUGAGCCACCGACCAGGCUCCUGCGGGAGGCAGCAGUCGGGAAUGUUACGCAAUGGGCGAGAGUCUGACGGAGCGACGGGAAGUGAGUUAUGGAAGCCCUGGGUUCGUGAAACUCUCUUACUAGGGAUGAACCUCUGUGUACGUAAAUGUGGAGAGCUUGACGGUACCUAAUCAGAAAGCCACGGCUAACUACGUG
rnacentral:rRNA from 1 species